rnacentral:lncRNA from 1 species
GUUGAAAAGGAGACUAAGACUGUAUAAACAUCUUCAUUGUCAGUUCUCAAAAUGACUGAAAUUGUUUUCAUGGUAAAAGUUAAUAUACUAAAGGGUUCCUUUUUUUUUAAUGUUUACAUUUAUCUCUAUGUUUACCUUUUUAGUCACAUUGACCUGCUGGCUGAAUACCUCAAAUAGUCCAGUAGAGGGCAGUCCACCAGGCAGAAAAGGUUAGGCGUUUUGGUUUCACAUCUUUUGCUGGGAUUAUAGGUGUGAGCCACCGUGCCGGGCCUGGACUUUGUACUUUUUCAAAUCAUAUUUAAUUAUUUCUUGAUCUUUACUCAAAGAAUUAUUCUGCGCUAAAUUUGCAACAUUAAACAAUAAUUAAGCCUGGAUCCGAUAAGUUAUUGGGUGACUAGAACCUACAACACAAUUUAUUUUUAAUUUAAACUCUCAAGUCUGAUUAAACUUGGGGGAAAAACUGAACAUUCAGGUGAUAUUUUAAAUUUUCUUUGUGACUAAAUAGAUGUCAUUAAUAUCAUGCUUCAUCUUACUGUGCAUAGAUGACCCAUGGCACACAAAGUAUAUGUAUAAUAUUGCAAUAUUGUACUUCCAUCUUUAAAAGUAUGCCAAAGACUUCAUAAUGAAUUCACCAUAUUUAAGGAAUAAGGCAAAUUAAUGUUUAUCCGAAAUCAAAAUGAGAUUGGAUAAUUCCUGGAAUCUGAUUUCUGUAAGUUUCAGUCCUAAAGGGACCUUAAAUAUCUACUAGAACGAAGUACAGUGUAUUUCUCAGAUUACAUGACAUUAGUCAACCAAUUUAGUUGUAACACAAAGUGAGAAAGCCUUAGGUGUUGAAGGAGUGUGAAAAUAAAAAUCUCUUUUCAUGCAGUUUCUGCUUCAUUUUCCAAGGAUUAUAAUAUGCUGAGUAAACUUUUGGCACUAAGGAAGCCAGCUACAGGCCACGUAAUGAAAACUAUUCAGAAAACAGUUCAGCAAAUACUACUAUUUGAAUACAGUUCAAAUCGUAUUUAUAUAAAUACUCUGCCUACAUUAUUUAACCCAAACUGGAUUAUUCACCAUUCUUUGAAGAUGCCUUGUGUUUUCUGUUAUCUACUUCUGCUCGUGCAGUUUACUUACACCUUCACCCUUUCAAAUCCUAACUCUUCUUCAAGGCCUGAUUCAGAUUUUAACUUUUUAAAGGCUAUCUGAAUCAUUCAAGGAGAAGAUACCCUUUCUCUCAUAAAAACACUUAGAGCAAACUACCACUAUUAAAUCACUUAUUGCAUACUGCCUCAGAGCCAUGUGUCCAGUUAUUCUGGUUUUUAUCUGGUACCCACACACACAUAAUACUUAGUACAUUUCCUUAUAUGUAAAUAAUUAGUAAUGUAACACAUCGAGUGAAUGAAAUUGUGAUUAGCAAAGUAUGACAGCUAAAAACAAAGGAAAUUUUGUAUAGUUUAAGUUUUUGUACAGCAGAAGGUAAUGGAAAAUAUUUGCAACAUAUGACAGUGUUUUUAAUGUCUUAAGUAUAUGAAGAAUUUGUUUCAAUUGGUAAGAAAAGACCAACUGAAAAAUAGGCAAAACAUACCAAAUUUCGAUUCACAAAAAGAUACAAAUGGCCAACAAAACAUGAAACACCUUGAACCCCAUUGGUUACAAAAAAUACAAAUAAAAACAAUGCUGACUGACAAUAAAAAUAAUGUACAUCUUGCUAUUAGCAGAGUUGUGGGGAAAUCCUGUCAUAUUUUGGUGAAUAGAAUAUGAGUUGGUAUAUCACUUUUAGGGGGCCAUUUGGCAAUAUCAAAAACCUUGAAACGUAAGUAUAAACUUCAGUUUGUUCGUAUAACCUGUCAUUCACAUAUUGAGUGCCUACUAUGUCCUAAAUAUUGGAAUAACACUAAUAAAGCUCAUAAGAG